GUUUGGAACAGUAUGGUUCCUCUGAGUUUGAUCCUGGCUCGGAGGUCGUAAAAGGUAACCCUAUUGGAUCCCCUAAAGUUUGAUCCCGGCUCAAAAAGUCCUAACAAAGUAACCAGGAUUGAAUCCUCUUUACUUUUAUCCCGGCCCGAUAAAACUUUUUGUUGCCCCGGUUUUUUUUCCCCGCUGUUUUUAUCUGGCACUUACAAAUGGGUUCGCUGUUCACUAGCUAUUUUCCCUUUUUACUUUUUACCUGGGCGAAAAUCCCCUGCCAACCUGACUGGGAGAUCAUCCACACUGGGAGUGAAACACGGCCAGGAUUCUAACGGGACGCAGGGCUAGGGAAUCCUCGCCAGUGGAGGAAAGACUGACUGAGCAUUCCGGUGGGAGUGUUGAAGGUUUUCGGAUCGUAAAGCUCUGUUGUCUCGGAAUAAUGCUUGCCGUUCAAAUAAGGUUGCACCUUCUCUGUACCUGACCAGAAAGCAACGGCUAAGUACGUGCCAUCAGCCGCGGUAAUACGUAGGGGGCAAGCGUUGUCCGGAAUUAUUGGGCGUAAAGCACACCCAGGCGGUCCUUUAAGUCUGAUGUGAAACCCCACAACUUAACCGUGAAGGGCUUUGAAAACUGGAUGACUUGAGUGUGAGANGAGAGUGGAAUUCCACUUGUACGAUAAAUGCGGAAGAUCUUAACAACACCUUGACUAAGGCUACUCUCUGGUCUGUAACUGACCCUAAAGUGCAAAACCUGGGGACCCAACAAAAUUAAAUACCUGGUUUUCCACCCCUUAACAUAUGAGUGCUACAGUUAAGGAAUUCCUCCCUUUAUCGCUGAAGUUAACCCAUUAAUUACUCCACCAGGAAUUACUUCCCUUCGUAAUUUGAAAUCGCUCGGUUAUCCUUGGAGUGACUUUAAAACUGGAGGNCUUAAGUCAGAAGGAGAGGAAGUGGAUUUCCUCGUGUAGCGGUUGAAUGUGUAGAGAUGUGGAGGAACACCCAGUGACAAAAGCGACUCUUGGUCUAAAAACUGACGUUGAGGUGCGAAAGCGUGGGAAGCAAACAGGAUUAGAUUCCCUGGUAGUCCACACCGUAAACGAUAGUACUGGGUGUUAGAGGGUUUCCGCCUUUUAGUCUGAAGUUAAACGCUUUAAUCACUCCCCCGGGGGAGUACGCCCGCAAGGUUAAAACUCAAAAAAAUUAACGGGGGCCCGCCCAAGGGGGGGAGCAUGUGUUUUAUUUUGAAGCAACGGAAAAAACCUUCCCAGUUCUUGCCAUCCUCGACCUUUCCAAGAGAUAGUAUGUUCCUUUGGGGAAUAGAGUAACAGGGGGCGCAUGGUUUUGUUAAGCUCGUGUCGGGAAAUUUGGGUUUAAUUCCCGCAAGGAGCGCAACCUUUGCUUUUAUUUCCCAGCAUUUAGUUGGGCACUCUAAGGUGACUGCCGGUGACAAACCGGAGGAAGGUGGGGAUGACGUCAAAUCAUCAUGCCCCUUAUGACCUGGGCUACACACGUGCUACAAUGGAUGGUACAAAGGGUAGCGAAGCCGCGAGGUCAAGCAAAUACCAUAAAACCAUUGUCAGUUCGGAUUGCUUAUUCCAACUCGCGUAAGUGAAACCAAGGUAACCAGUAAUGGACCCUCAGCAUUUUGCCCCGGGUUCGGUAAGUGGUAACAAGGUAACCAGUAUUGGAUCCUCUAGAGUUUGAUCCUGGCUCAGGAAGUCGUAACAAGGUAACCAGUAUGGACCUCUAGAGUUC
rnacentral:rRNA from 1 species